AUUGAACGCUGGCGGCAGGCCUAACACAUGCAAGUCGAACGAGGGGCGGACGGGUGAGUAAUGUCUGGGAAACUGCCCGAUGGAGGGGGAUAACUACUGGAAAUGGUAGCUAAUACCGCAUACCAUCGGAUGUGCCCAGAUGGGCUGAGCUAGUAGGGGGGGGAACGGCUCACCUAGGCGACGAUCCCUCGCUGGUCUGAGAGGAUGACCAGCCACACUGGAACUGAGACCCGGUCCAGAUCCCUACGGGAGGCAGCAGUGGGGAAUAGUGCACAAUGGGCGCAAGCCUGAUGCAGCCAUGCCGCGUGUAUGAAGAAGGCCUUCGGGUUGUAAAGUACUUUCAGCGAGGAGGCGUUACUCGCAGAAGAAGCACCGGCUAACUCCGUGCCAGCAGCCGCGGUAAUAC
rnacentral:rRNA from 1 species